CCAGAUCCUGGCAAACAACAUCAGAUUAAGGAGGAACGUAAAGAAAGAUUCUUAUAAAAUCAAGAAUGUCUCCUACAGUGCCUUCAAGAAUGAAGGAUUAUUUGCCAAUAAACCCCUAUUCCUGGUGCUGUGCACAUCAGCAAGGAGCUCCUUAAGCAAACAGCCAGGCUGGCAGAGCUGCCAGUGGAGUGGGUUAGGGGCACAAGUGGCACUGGGCAUCCUCGGAAUGCAGCUUGGACCAUGCGUGGUGGACCUGCUCAGCUCCCAAGCACUGUCAUUGUAAUCGGAGUGGAGCCUGGCGGACGUCUGAGACACCGACACUAGCAAUUAAGUGUAAUUAUCUAAGGGGGGUGUGUGUGUCUUAUAUGGAAACACAGCCCUGAAGUGAGU